GUAAGGAAUAUUGGUCAAUGGAGGCAACUCUGAACCAGCCAUGCCGCGUGCAGGAAGACGGCCCUCUGGGUUGUAAACUGCUUUUAUCUAGGAAUAAACCUACUUACGUGUAAGUAGCUGAAUGUACUAGAAGAAUAAGGAUCGGCUAACUCCGUGCCAGCAGCCGCGGUAAUACGGAGGAUCCAAGCGUUAUCCGGAUUUAUUGGGUUUAAGGGUGCGUAGGCGGCCUAUUAAGUCAGGGGUGAAAGACGGUAGCUCAACUAUCGCAGUGCCCUUGAUACUGAUGGGCUUGAAUGAACUAGAGGUAGGCGGAAUGUGACAAGUAGCGGUGAAAUGUUUAGAUAUGUCACAGAACACCGAUUGCGAAGGCAGCUUACUAUGGUUUUAUUGACGCUGAGGCACGAAAGCGUGGGGAUCAAACAGGAUUAGAAACCCGUGUAGUCC
rnacentral:rRNA from 1 species